GUCCGGAUGGCGUAGUGGUCAGCGCACCUGCUUAGUAUGCAGAAGACCCGGGUUCGAAUCCCAGUCCGGCACA